AAAAAUCUAAAUACCCAAUUCGUAACACCGUGAACAAGAACCAAAGGAAAUUGAAACCCUCCCCCCGUUCUUUCUUUUCCCAAUUCGUAACCCUAGCCUCUCAUUGCCGUCGCCGUCCCAAGCUCCUCAGCGUCGCCGCUGUCCUAAGCUCCUCAGCGCGAUUGCUUCUUCCUCUUCGCUGUUUUGCAAAACCCAAAAAUCUCAACACAUCGUCUUUAUCUUCGUUGGCUUCUCUGUUCGUCGAAGGUUAGUGUCGUCCGCUCUUGGGGUACUGCGCUCGUUAAGAUCUCUCCUUAUACCUUCUCCACCGUCGGCAUCGGCGUCUCCAUCGGUGUCUCAGUUCUCGAUGCUGCUUGGGGGAUUUACGUGCUGCAAUCAAGGCUCCCCGAAUCACUUCUACGAAUCUCAUUAGGAUAAUUUUUUCGUACUGGUAAAGACAACAAGAGUUGAGUAGUUGCUGCGGCACCGUUUAUAAUAACAUUUUUGUUCUAUUCUAACUUCUUUAUUUCUUUUGCUAGUUGGAGAACAUGAUGUGAAGAAAAUAUGUUUUAUACAAAUAUAAGAUGGGAUGGGUCUUAUAAUGAUUUUGGUUAUCUAAAUGUAUUAUUUUGAUGUGUUCUUUACAUUUCGAUAAGAGACUUUAUCCGAUAUUACAUGUAAUGGAUAAAUUACACCCUAUUUUGAUUAGUGUUGUAAUGGAUAUGAAGUUUUUAAUGAAACUUUUAUGAUUUACAUUUA